rnacentral:rRNA from 1 species
GUAAACCGCUUUUUGAGGGGACGAGCGAGGACGGUACCUUCAGAUAAGUCUCGGCUAACUACGUGCCAGCAGCCGCGGUAAGACGUAGGAGGCGAGCGUUAUCCGGAUUCACUGGGCGUAAAGCGCAUGUAGGCGGCUGUGCAAGUCGUGUGUUAAAGCCCCUGGCUCAACUGGGGGAGGUCAUGCGAUACUGUGCGGCUGGAGGGCAGUAGAGGGCACAUGGAAAUCCCCGGUGUAGCGGUGGAAAUGCGUAGAGAUCGGGAAGAACACCUGUGGCGAAGGCGGUGUGCUGGGCUGCACCUGACGCUGAGAUGCGAAAGUGUGGGGAAGCAAACGGGAUUAGAUACCCCGGUAGUCCACACUGUAAACGAUGAACCCUAGGUGUGGGGGGGUUACCCCUCCGUGCCGUAGCUAACGCGUUAAGGGUUCCGCCUGGGGACUAUGAGCGCAAGCUUA